rnacentral:lncRNA from 1 species
UCCCAAAACCAAGCUACUAAAGCUAGACGGCUUGGAAGGCUUCAGAGACUAUGUCCUAUCCCUUUUCAGCCAGCGUCUAACUAUAAAGUACUCCGAAGUUAAAGCAAGUCGCUAUAUCGACAAGAUCAAACCUAUGUUGAAUGUAUACGCCAAAGAAAGGCCUUUGCUAUGUGAUUGGAAGUUCAGAGAGCCCACCGAUGUCUCCUUCAUCAAAUCCCACAAGAAGAUUGCAGAGGAGCAAGCAAGUUUUUGGAAGGGUAUGGAAGAGAAGUUAACGCCAAAGAUAAUACAAGGAGGUAAAGGUAGAGGUGGUGAUAGUAGCUUGAGGAAUGCUGCAGGAAAAAAUAAUCCUUCAGCUGUUACGGCUAAACAAGAGGUCGCAGCAGCAACGGUCUCUGAGGUAGGAGGAAGUUCGAGAAGUGCUAUACCUCGUGUCCCUAGACAGAAAAUGCCUGAUGAGAUCAAGAGGGCGAUACCAAAGGCCUUGAAGAAGGUGUUUCAGACGCAGAAAGUUUGCAGCUACGAGACGAUUUGCCAGAGACUUAGGGAUCUUGCGGUUGCUACUUCGAAUAAUCCGAGAGUUGAUUCAGGGAUGGCGCAACAGGUGGCGUUAGCUGUAGAUUCUUACCAAGAAGAGCUCAAAGUCGUUAUCAGUGAAGUGACUGUUGAUAUUCACGGCUCUUUUGUCUCCAAGUCGUCUCAAGACCAUCCAGAAUAUGAUCCACUCAGGUUCUUUUUUUUUUUUUUUGUGUUGGCGUCGAUGCCACCAAAGUCUCUGACCAUCCCAAGGUUGAGCCUGAGGUCUUCAAUGGCGCUGUUAAGAUGGAGAUUGAUGCAAAAGUGGACAAGGAGCCGGAGACUACGGAGGUUGAGUUGAUGGAGGAAGAUCAUCAUCAGCUUCCACUGCAUCAGGAGGAGGAGAAGGAGAAGGAAGAAGAAGACGUUGUUGUUCGUGAAAUUGACGUUUUCUUUAAUCCCUCUAUUGAUGCCAACACUAAGGUUAGUAGUGCUAGUGAUUAGAUUCUUCAAAUUUAUAUGAUUUUUGGCUAAUUUUUUUGUGUAAUGAGGUCACAGCUUUAUGUUCUACAAUAUCCUCUAAGACCGUCUUGGCGUGCUUACGAAAUGGAUGAACGGUGUGAAGAAGUGAGUGUUACUUAUUCUUCUGUUUGUAUUAUUUUAAUGUUCUAAUGUUUUGUUUGUUUAUGUGUCUUUAAAGGUUAGAGUGAAUCCUUCUACCUCCCAGGUGGAAAUUGAUUUGUCCAUGGAUGUUCAUUCGAGCAACUACGACCCUGACGUUGGAAGUAAACUACGUAUGACUAAACAGGUCAGAUUCUAGUUCAUCCAAGGUUAGAAUUCAAGUUUAAUCUUUUUUUUUGAAGCAACUUCAUUUUGCCUUUUGUUGUUUUUGGUAGACAUUGACAACAACAUGGAAGCAGCCUCCUACGUUGGAUUAUGCCGUUGGUGUUCUUUCAGGUGAUAAGGUAUUAUUAUUGUCUUCUCUCUUUUCGAAGCUUUGAUAACAACAUUCCUGUGAUACCUUAUUGAAUUUGGACUUGUUUGACUUGCAGUUACAUUUGAACCCUGUUCAUGCUGUUGUUCAGCUCCGACCAUCUAUGCAGUAUCUUUCUUCCAAAAAGAAUCUAGCUGAAGCUCCCGAAGAAUCUGCCGGAACUUCAAAAAGACAGGUAUGGAUUUGGCUACUUAUGCCACCGUUUACAUGAUUCUAAUCUUGAGUCUAAUUACUAUGUGGCAGAACAAGGGAGCACAGGCUUCAACGGAUCAGAAACCAGUUCCUGAAGAAGUAUGAUCUUUUCUGUUACUCUGAUUGUUGUUAGAUAUGGUUUGGUAAACUUAUGCCUCACUCUCUUUCUUCUUUCUUUUAGAAGUGGGUUUCACUCAAGUAUCAUGGACUUCAAUCCGAAUAUUGCUCCAGAUACCUUAGCGGAAUGAUGGCUAAUGGCAACUCUUCAAUAGACUUCAACAUGACCCCGUAUGAUCUCUUCCUUUUCACUGUUCUCUUGAUGCAAUAUGUGUUUUUUUUUCUGCUCACCUUAAACUCUGUUUCUAUCCAUUGAAGGGAUGCUUAUAUCAACUCACUGUGCCGUGGAGAUAACAGCAGAAACUCUGAGUCAAAAAGUUUAUCGAAAAGGUGCAGUCUCAUGUGUCAAGCGAGUCAACAUUUGCAAGCUCUUUUAUAACAUAGUCUUCUGCUUUCAGGUUGUUGGCCUCCCUACCGCUUGAAGAACGUCUGCAAACGUUGCUCUGCCAGAAACAUGGACCACCGCUAUUUCGAUACAGUGUUCUUAAGCACUACGCCCCAGAGUUAUCAGACGAGGAGUUCUUAAAAGUCCUCCAACAAUACGCCUGUCUAGUUCAAGGCCUAUGGACUCCCAAAACCAAGCUACUAAAGCUAGACGGCUUGGAAGGCUUCAGAGACUAUGUCCUAUCCCUUUUCAGCCAGCGUCUAACUAUAAAGUACUCCGAAGUUAAAGCAAGUCGCUAUAUCGACAAGAUCAAACCUAUGUUGAAUGUAUACGCCAAAGAAAGGCCUUUGCUAUGUGAUUGGAAGUUCAGAGAGCCCACCGAUGUCUCCUUCAUCAAAUCCCACAAGAAGAUUGCAGAGGAGCAAGCAAGUUUUUGGAAGGGUAUGGAAGAGAAGUUAACGCCA